AAGUCUUCUGUUAAAUCUGAACCAUCAGCAUCUUUUAUAACUUGGAGUAGAUAGGAUUAUUUGGGUCACAUACAGAGUACAAAACUUGAAAGUAGCGGAGAAAAUGCUUCAGUAAAGAAAUAUUGUUUGCAGUUUGCUCUGACAGAUGCUUUGACAGAUGUGUGUGGACCUGAGUCAUGUUUCUGCAGAGCACAACUUACAUUUGAUGGUAGAGUCCUUGUCUAAUUUUGGAAAUAAUUGAAGAGAAUAGGAGAAUAGGAGUGCAAUGAUUCUGACUAAAAUUUACAUUGUACUAAAAUAUAUAUUUUAAAUGUAGGUUUAAUAUUCUAUGUUAUAUUUAUGAGAGCAUUAAAUGUAAAGGGGUAUACAUGUAAUUACUACAGUUACUACACGUAAAACAAUUGCUAUGUUAAUUUACUAUAUUAAAAAUAUACGUGUAUAUUAACGUGAAUACAUGUUCCGCAUAACAGAUUUUUAAUAUGUUUUAUGCUUUAAAAUGGCAAGCAAAGAGUUUUUUGUUUUACAAUGUCAUGUUUGUAUUUUAACCCUUUUUUUUGGCUAAUGUGUAGCACAACUUACAUAAAUACAUUCACUAUAUUUGUUUUCUUUGACUUCAGUUUUCACAUUGUUUGGAGGACAAAAUCGGGAAGGAUGUAGGGGCCCACAGUUUGGGCACACAUACACAGUUCAGCUUUGGGUUUGUUGCUCUGUGCUGUUUAAUGUAUGGUAGUCAGAACUUUGUUCAGUUUCAUUCAUUACUGUCAGCUUUCACAGCAAUACUGCUAAAUGAGCAAUUAUCUCUAUCAAACAUGGACCUUAAAGGGAUGGUUCACCCAAAAACAUUAUUCAAAUAAAUAUUGUGACAAUCAUGUUCAUGAAUCUGAUUUCAGUGGCACAGCUGUGUAGUAUCUAGUACAGAGGUUGUUGACAGUAUUGUGUGCAUUGUACAUAAUGUUCACUGCCCAGUAUUGUAUUAUUGUUUACACAGUAAGUUUUCAGUAACAUUAUUUCCUUAUAAAAUGCUCGAACAUUUUUUUCCUCUUCUUUUCUCCACCAGGCACCCUAGGACAACAUCCUUAGCACAGAUCUACCUAUAGCCCUCCAUCAUUCCCACAUCCAUCUUGCAACAGUUUCAUUAAGUGCAGUCCAUAACCAGUUCACGGUCUACACCUUGUCCAUUGCAAAUGUUAUGGAUUAUUCUAAUAGAGAUCUUUCUAU